GACGAACGCUGGCGGCGUGCUUAACACAUGCAAGUCGAACGGUGAACCUCUUCGGAGGGGAUCAGUGGCGAACGGGUGAGUAACGCGUGGGCAACCUGCCCCCGGCUCUGGGAUAACUCCAAGAAAUUGGGGCUAAUACCGGAUGUUCACCGCUUCCCGCAUGGGUGGUGGUGGAAAGGGUUUCCGGCUGGGGAUGGGCCCGCGGCCUAUCAGCUUGUUGGUGGGGUAGUGGCCUACCAAGGCGACGACGGGUAGCCGGCCUGAGAGGGUGACCGGCCACACUGGGACUGAGACACGGCCCAGACUCCUACGGGAGGCAGCAGUGGGGAAUAUUGCGCAAUGGGCGGAAGCCUGACGCAGCGACGCCGCGUGGGGGAUGACGGCCUUCGGGUUGUAAACCUCUUUCAGCAGGGACGAAGCGCAAGUGACGGUACCUGCAGAAGAAGCACCGGCCAACUACGUG
rnacentral:rRNA from 1 species